UUUGUGAAUGUUCAAAUCAGUUCAGUUUAUCGUGGAUUUUCAAGCGGAAAACUAAAUUUCUUUUGUCAAGCUAGACAACAGCGAUUACGGCAGCAGCAGCAGCAAAAGUGCAGCAAGUGUUUCUCAACUCCUCAAUCUUAAUUUGCAUUAUUCUACUCCAAAAGAAAGUAAAAUAAAAUAAAUAAACAACAUUUCAGGUGAAAUUGCGCUUUAACUUAAAUUUGCAAGCGUUGCAUAAGUCAUAAACAAAUAAAAUAGAAGUAAUAAAUCGAUAUUUAAACAAAUAGUCAUAAUAGUGAAAAUUUCAAAAUGAGUUUGCGUGGCGUACAUGCACGGGACUCAAUAGAUUCGAUUGAAGUUGAAGCUGCAACUCGAAUAAGUCGCUAUCCUUAUGUGACGUCCAAUCGAUCGGUUAUGCGUUCAAUUUCAGGACCAGGCUCGUUAGCGCCAAGAUCCGAUUCUCCAACAUCACUAGCAGCGGCAAGACAGUCUAAGACACCGGUGCCGGGUGAAGUCGCCGAUGAUGUGCUUCCCAAUGAAAUCUCCGCGCCGUAUGAAGUACCGCAAUUCCCCAUCGAACAGAUUGAGAAGAAAUUGCAAAUUCAAAGGCAUUUAAAUGAGUCAAUAACAACGAGCCGACCCGCUAAUGUAGCGGAAAAAUAUACAUCAUUGACCAGUGAUGAGAGUUUAGCGACAAUGGAGACCGUCGAUGCAGAGGAGCACGAUUUGCCCAAUUUUCAGCGUGUCUCCAUUUCUGGUGAGGAUACUAGCGGUGUGCCAUUGGAGGAUUUAGAACGCGCCUCCACCCUACUAAUACAAGCGUUGGAAUUACGCGAGCGCUAUAUGUUACAUUCUGGUCAAUCAUUCCCGACAACAACUCGCCGUUUUCUGAAAACCGUACACGAACGUAAUCGUUUCGGUACGAUUGAGCACGAGAAUCGAAAGACCAUUGCUGCUAUAAUACGCAAGAUCAGCCUCCCCAGUUCGCAGACAGACCAUCCCAUACAUCCGCCAACUGACACGUCCGACCCAUGGGACUUGGAGUUUCCACCUGAUAACGAAUAUGCUAUCAAAAGUAUUAAUGGUGUCUUCCACGUCUACAAGGAUAAGGAAUGCACGCAAGUAGUUAAGUGUGAAUAUCCAAAUCUCAAAGAAUUUGUGAACGAUAUGCAAGUUAUGUGCAACAUGAUCGUCGAUGGUCCACUGAAAUCAUUUUGUUAUCGCCGUCUUUGCUAUCUCUCGUCGAAAUUCCAAUUACACGUUCUCUUGAAUGAGCUGCGUGAGUUAGCCUCACAGAAAGCGGUGCCACAUCGCGAUUUCUACAACAUCAGAAAAGUGGACACUCACAUACACGCGGCCUCUUGCAUGAAUCAAAAACAUCUAUUACGUUUUAUUAAGAAGACACUAAAAAAUAAUUCCGAUGAAAUUGUGACAGUUACCAAAGGUCAACAAAUGUCACUGAGAGAUGUUUUCCAAUCGAUGAACCUAACUACCUAUGAUCUUACCGUAGAUAUGUUGGACGUGCAUGCAGAUCGGAACACAUUCCAUCGCUUUGACAAAUUCAAUUCCAAAUACAAUCCGAUCGGUGAGUCGCGUUUACGUGAGGUCUUCCUAAAGACGGAUAACUAUUCGAAUGGCAAAUAUUUUGCGCAAAUUAUUAAGGAAGUUGCCUAUGAUUUAGAGGAAUCGAAAUACCAAAAUGCAGAAUUGCGUCUUUCCAUUUACGGUAAAUCGCCGGAUGAGUGGAAAAAAUUAGCCAAAUGGGCCAUCGAUUACAAUGUGCAUUCGACAAAUGUACGCUGGCUGAUACAGAUUCCACGUCUUUAUGAUAUAUUCAAAUCCAACAAUUUGAUGAAUUCAUUCCAAAAUAUCCUGGAUAAUAUCUUUCUGCCUCUAUUCGAGGCUACCAGCCGUCCUAAUGAGCAUCCCGAAUUGCAUCGAUUCCUCAAGUAUGUCAUCGGCUUCGAUUCGGUAGACGAUGAAUCAAAACCAGAGAAUCCAAUUAUCGAUGUGGAUAUACUAACACCAGAAGCGUGGAGCGAAGAGGAAAAUCCGCCAUAUGCUUAUUAUAUUUAUUAUAUGUAUGCAAAUAUGACGGUAUUGAAUCAGUACAGAAAAGCGCGUGGCAUGAACACAUUUGUUUUACGUCCGCAUUGCGGCGAGGCUGGUCCUGUGCAGCAUUUAGUUUGCGGUUACCUAAUGGCUGAGAAUAUAUCUCACGGUCUGCUGUUGCGAAAAGUGCCUGUACUGCAGUAUCUGUAUUAUUUGUCUCAGAUUGGUAUUGCCAUGUCUCCACUUUCCAACAAUUCACUUUUUCUCAACUAUCAUCGCAAUCCGCUGCCAGAAUAUUUAGCACGUGGCUUAAUUGUCUCACUAUCGACUGAUGAUCCAUUACAAUUUCACUUCACAAAGGAACCGCUAAUGGAGGAGUACAGCAUUGCGGCACAAGUGUGGAAGCUUAGCUCAUGUGAUAUGUGCGAAUUGGCUCGCAAUAGUGUAAUCAUGAGUGGCUUCCCGCAUAAGGUCAAACAACAUUGGCUCGGUCCCAAUUAUACCCGUGAAGGUGUUGCUGGUAAUGACAUUACGCGCACGAAUGUGCCCGAUAUCCGUGUUUCCUAUCGAAGUGAAACACUGCUGGACGAGUUGUCGAACAUAUUCAAGGUGCACGAGAUUCCCAAAAGUGAGUAAUUCACGUUGCUCCAACUAUCGCAGCACUGUUGCGAUAACAACCACACUGCGUCACACAACUGAGCAUCCAGAAGUAUAAACCACCACUGUGGUGCUAUGGCGUUGCAGUCGUCAUCUUCUCAUGAAUUUAUGCAACCUUCUUAAAGGAUUUUUUCUACUACAGUUACAACUAAAAUUACUUACUAAAUUAUUUCUACUACUACUAUUACGACUACCACAACAGCUACUAAAAAUCACAUACAUACAGUUGUUUCUACUUGUAUGUGCAUAUAUGUUUAUGAAUGCAUCUCGCAGUUUCAGCGCGAAAUUUAAAUGUAGCCAAAGAUGAAGCUGAACUAGACAGCGAAACCGAUGCAAGUAUAUCCUCACAUAUAAACUCGGAACAUUGCACAUGCUUGGAGAAUUUGUAGUUUUCUUAUUUGCCAACAAGAUGAUAAAAGAAAAAAUAUAUGUAUUGGUAUUUAUAACGCGCAUGUAGCUUAUUUCAAACGAGUAACUGUUAAUAUUUGUUGUAUUUACGCUCUACAAUUUUAUGUACCUUUUGUGCAAGGUUUUUUCUGCGGCUUGUUAAAAUAUAUUGCAAAAGCAAGAUAUGUUCAUUAAAACCUGUAACAACCAUUUCAAACAGAAAAUUAUAUAAAAAAAAUGUUAAAUGGUAAAUAAAUAAAUAAAUAAAUAAAAAAGUGACAAAAUAAA